GACGAACGCUGGCGGCGUGCUUAACACAUGCAAGUCGAGCGGUAAGGCCCUUUCGGGGGUACACGAGCGGCGAACGGGUGAGUAACACGUGGGUGACCUGCCCUCAGCUCUGGGAUAAGCCCGGGAAACUGGGUCUAAUACUGGAUAUGACUCCAUGACGCAUGUUGUGGGGUGGAAAGCCUUGUGCGGCUGAGGAUGGGCCCGCGGCCUAUCAGCUUGUUGGUGGGGNGAUGGCCUACCAAGCGACGACGGGUAGCCGGCCUGAGAGGGCGACCGGCCACACUGGGACUGAGACACGGCCCAGACUCCUACGGGAGGCAGCAGUGGGGAAUCUUGCGCAAUGGGCGGAAAGCCUGACGCAGCGACGCCGCGUGAGGGAUGACGGCC
rnacentral:rRNA from 1 species